GCCUGCUGUGCCCUGACGGCGAACCGACUCGGAUGGCUCGGCGCGC
rnacentral:misc_RNA from 1 species